UAAUCCUAACCAUAAAUCGGGCGUCAGACGAUCCAUGUUCGAAUGCGCGUUGGGAUCUGGCUUGCGGGGGAGGCUUGCGGGGUCGGAUCACACGGCGGAUCGACGCUACUGCCCCGCCACGAUCGGACCAUGCACAACAUGGCCACGAGCACACCAUUGCCUGCAUUGUCAGAUUGCGAUCUUCUGAUCUCAGAAUUUUGACGAUCCUCGCUUCGUGACAACCAGCAGCAACAGAGGAUAUGCGUUUUGUGGGCUCUGUUGCAACUAUGCGCAAGGUCGGAAGAUCGUGCUCUUCAACUGGGUUUCGAGUGUGUGAUGCGAUUACUUCAUUCAUGAGAGAUAUGGAGGUGUCCAGUUGUAGAUGCACCCUUCAUUGGUUCGAGAAACGCCGGCUGUUACGAGAGUAGGACUGUUCCAGGAAAUGGAAUGCGCUUGCGCAAUCGUCUCCGGCCUGUUUGAUGCUUCGGAUUUUGUCAAUGGCGCCUCCUGUACAGUGAAAACUUUGGAUAUUAGAUCUUUCAGAAGUGUUGUGAAUUUUGGAAUGAGGAGCGAUACUGUAGCAAUGUGCUUCAAUUGAACAGUAUUCUUGCGAACGGAGGACUAGCGAGCCCUGAAUGACUGUUAAAGCGAAGGAUGCAGCAAUGCCCUCUUUUUAGGCAUCUCAUGCUGUUUGAUGCCAAUUUUUGUAUGCCAUUUCGUACAUCUACUGCUUUGGAGUUGGCCAAAUUGUGGGGUCAUCUCCUCGGGUCACAGUCGUUACUUGCGACUCAAGUACGUCAAGUUGAAGAUCACGAGGCCAACGAUGUUAUUAAGCAAAUGUCCGCUUACCAGAUGCUGAAUCCUCGCAGACUGUUCCUGCGACUUCUGUGCUCACUUGUCAGGGUUAAAACAGGAUGUGUCGUUAACCUACAUCUUUCGAGUGACUUGGGAGAGCACUCAUGAACUUUCAGCAUUGCUCGGAGAACUUUGAAAAGGUUUUUGGUGAACAUCUCCGCAGUUUGCUCAUGUGUAGCACAGUAACUUCGAAUUUGCGGUUGGUUUGUUCUUGUAUGGCGUGAAAGUCGUUCUUGCAUAACGUUUUGGAAUGUGCAUAAGGUAUGUUGCAUAGUAAUGUCGCGUUAAACCACAAUCGUUACAUCUUAAACACGAUCAGAAUGCUGUAAUUAAAUGAUACAAGGUCAAGCGGGUAGCAAAAUAUUUCACUUGUAUUUAAGUUGUAGCGAUUUACUUCACUAUUACUACAGCAUCAACUUCAUACAUACAUUUAUUUGUAGCCAAA